UUCUUAGCACUUGACAGAUACUCCAUGCUUGGCAAAUCUCUGUUCCUUCCCCCAGUUUUUUGACAGAGGAGGUACCUAUUUUUCCUCCCCUUAAAAAGGGCUUGCCUCAUCCCUUCCAGUCUUAGAGUUGAAGAGAGAACCUGAGGAUAUCCUCAACUGCUUCAGAGGUAUCAAUUGAGAUCAAUGAUUCUGAACAAAUUAUCCAAUCUUUCUAAAAGCUCGUACAUUGUAAGUAUUUUACAGAACCUAUCCCUGCUU